rnacentral:rRNA from 1 species
UAAUACGGAGGGUGCAAGCGUUAUCCGGAUUUAUUGGGUUUAAAGGGUGCGUAGGCGGUUAUAUAAGUCAGCGGUGAAAUUUUUCGGCUCAACCGGAAACAUGCCGUUGAUACUGUAUAGCUUGAAUAUGGUUGCUGUGAGUGGAAUGUGUAGUGUAGCGGUGAAAUGCUUAGAUAUUACACAGAAUAUCGAUUGCGAAGGCAACUCACAAAGCCAUUAUUGACGCUGAGGCACGAAAGUGUGGGGAUCAAACAGGAUUAGAUACCCUGGUAGUCCACACUGUAAACGAUGAUAACUAGCUGUCGGCGAUAGACCGUCGGUGGCCAAGCGAAAGCGAUAAGUUAUCCACCUGGGGAGUACGACCGCAAGGUUGAAACUCAAAGGAAUUGACGG